AUCUUGGCUGACUGUAGGGCUUCUCAUUGUUGUAGUUCUAAUAAUGUGGAGGAUAUCAAUAGUCCCACAUCGGUUAUGAGUUAAAGGAGACUCGUGCUUAUAAGGAGGAAAAAAAUUUUUUCACAUGAGACAUCUUUUAAAGAGUAAAAUCGUGAGGCCCAUAGAUCAGAGCGGACAAUACAUCACGUGAUGGACCGAACCCUUAUCCGCAACAUAUACAAUGUGAGGCCCAU
rnacentral:lncRNA from 1 species